rnacentral:rRNA from 1 species
GAUGAACGCUAGCGAUAGGCUUAACACAUGCAAGUCGAGGGGCAGCACAAGGUAGCUUGCUAUCUGGGUGGCGACCGGCGCACGGGUGCGUAACGCGUAUGCAACUUGCCCUAUACAGGAGGAUAACCCGUCGAAAGACGGACUAAUACUGCGUAUGCUCACAACUUGGCAUCAAGUGGUGAGGAAAGAAAUUCGGUAUAGGAUAGGCAUGCGUCCCAUUAGCUUGUUGGUGAGGUAACGGCCCACCAAGGCAACGAUGGGUAGGGGAACUGAGAGGUUUAUCCCCCACACUGGUACUGAGACACGGACCAGACUCCUACGGGAGGCAGCAGUGAGGAAUAUUGGUCAAUGGGCGCGAGCCUGAACCAGCCAAGUCGCGUGAAGGAUGACUGUCUUAUGGAUUGUAAACUUCUUUUAGACGGGAAUAACAAGAGUCACGUGUGACUCCCUGCAGGUACCGUAUGAAUAAGCAUCGGCUAACUCCGUG